UACGGAAGGGGCAAGCGUUGUUCGGAAUCAUUGGGCGUAAAGGGCGCGUAGGUGGUUCUGUAUGUCUACCGUGAAAGCAUACAGCUCAACUGUAUUUUGUCGGUAGAAACUGCAGGACUUGAGGCUGGGAGGGGCUGGUGGAAUUCCCUGUGUAGCGGUGAAAUGCGUAGAGAUGGGGAGAACACUCGUGGCGAAGGCGGCCAGCUAGACCAGUUCUGACACUGAGGCGCGACAGCGUGGGAGCAAACAGG
rnacentral:rRNA from 1 species